rnacentral:lncRNA from 1 species
AAGGCAGAACACUGGGAAUUUGUGGAAAGAGCAGAUCUUUGGGUUGCUUCACACAGAGGCUAAAGUGGGAGAGCGAAAUAGCACAGAGUUGCCAAGAGAGUGAACUUCAUCCUGCAAAAAAGAUGGUGGGGGGGUGGAGUGGUGGUGUACAAGGCUAUAUUUUUGGCAGGUGAGUUGGUCACAGUGAGGGGAGAACUGUCAGCCCCUCAGGAAAGAGGAUGUGAGGCUCCUCCUGACGGUACCAGUCUGAGGAAGGUGUUUGCCUGCACAGGCACCUUCCCAAGCUUGCAAAGGGAGAGUGGGAAAAUGAUGAGGGCACUUAGAAACCCUGGGCCUCCAGUGGUCUCAGGACAUUAAGAGACUUGCUUUUGAACUUGAUUUGCUGAUAAACAUAGGUUUAAAUCGCAUCUCUACCACUUACUAACUCGGUGACUUUGGGGAAGUUGCCCAACUUCUCUGGGCCCCCAUUAUCCAUUAAAUGGUGUUCAAUGAACGCUGAUGCCCACUGUACGCUAUUGUGAAGACUAAAUGUACAGGAAAUGGAAAGUAUCCAGUGCAAUUCCUAGCACACAGUGAGAGUGCAGUAAAUAGUGGCUCUGUGUGUUGCCCUCGUCCUGUUUGUUUUUGCCAAAUUCUCAUAGGCUAAUCAUUCGUUUCCACUUCACGUCUCAUGAACAAUUUACAGUGUCCUCUUUUCCCUAAGAGAGCUCCAAACCCCUUAGCAAGUGCCCCCAGUGAGUUCCCCUCGGCGCACUGGGCUUUGGACUGGUUGCUGUAACCACAGGUCCAGAUGGUCUCCUUUUGCCCAGACCACUCUGGGCAUGACCUUGUUUGAGCCUUUCCUUUUAUAACCACAAAUUGUCCUGUCCCCAUAUGGAAGGGCGACCUCUCCCCUUUAGCUGUAACAGCACCAUAGACAUCUUCUUCCUGGCAAAGGGCCCGUAGGGGGAACAAUCUCAGGAGCCAGGCCCCUCCCCCGAGCCCUUUCUCUGUUAAUCACAGCAGCCGCAGCUGAACCUCAGUCUCUUUGGGGGCCAAUUGAGGUGUUGGCAGCUUGCAUUUCAGCCCCACACUUAAAGAGUUGAGGAAGGGGCUUAGUUAGGGUAUCCCCAUAGCCGACUGCCAAUUACCAGGGCUGUUUCUAGAGACAAAAAGUUCCCCUUAGUUUGUCUCGAAUGAGUUCCACCAGUACCUGUUUACCAGCUAGGGUGCUUAGGGGAAAGCGCUGACCCCAGUGCCCUAAGGGCCUCCAUAUGUCACUUUCCAGGCUAGAAAGACCAGUUUUUCUCAGACCCAGGUGGGAUGACUCAGGGUGUGGUCACAGGUCAUUGCUGGUCACCAGGGAGACCUCGGGAGACCUCCAAAUCUGAGUCUUAGGUCUUGCCCAGUGACAUUUUUUUUUGUGCGUUUGGCAAACUUAAAUACUAGCGGUUUUGGCAGCACCUCCAAGGAAUCAGAAGGUUCAAAACAAUACCAAGCAAGUCAGCAGAGGUGACAACAUGCUCCCUGCUGUAAUACAACCAAGGCUCUGUGUCUGAGCUUCCACAGGAGCUGCUCGCUGCCGUUUGUAGAGAACUGUUCACCGCCCUGAUCGAACUUCAGAUUUCCUUGAGAUGAAGCUGGCGUCUGGUUCCGUCCACACGCUGUCUUGGCUUUAAGCUCUGUUCAUUCCCUUUGUCUCAGGAAGCCGUGCUCCGGGGUACAUUGGGCCUGCCAGUCGUUGCUGCCAGAGCGUGUGUGUCCUCAUUAUGGUAAAUGGGCAGCGGGUCGAGCUCAGCUGGCCCGGCAUAGAGCCCACCUCCUCUCAGUGCCCUUCAUCCACUUUAAGGGAGUCUCCGAUUCUGCUUGAGAACUGGGGAGAGCGACCUCCACCUCCCACUGUGAGCGUGCACUCUGGUGUGGAGAGCUGAAGUCUGUCCCCACGGCACUCCCCUCACCACCCGGCCCCAGCUGCGCAGCUCGUACUCCCCUUUGCUAUGGGGAGCCCCGCUGAGCAGCCCUGUGCUGCCUUCUAGGUAAGGUUUUUGUCUCGACAGAUAAGGGGCCGACACAGGCCCUCGUGGUUUUCAGUAUCCCUUGUGUCGUAGACCCUUCUCAGAAUCUGAAUGUUGGGGAUAUUCCCCCAGAAAAAUGCACAUGACUUGCACACACUGUGACACUUCAUACAUCUUCGGGGGGUUUGUAGAACCUGUGUAUCCUUGGAGUUAGAAGAACCCCAGGUGGCGUGUGCAACCCGACCAGCCGUUGCUGAGGCCCAAAGCAGAAAGGAGGCUGUCACUUGGAGAGAAGACUGACUUGAGGCCAAGUCGUCUUGUCUGGAAUUUUCGCCUGAGCCAAUGACUAUUGUGAGGUUUUUGUGGCUGCUGUUUGUUUGUUGGAUGUGAUUUAAAGCUGCCAUCAUGGCUGACUAAGUGCCUCCUGUGUGCCUCGUUGUGCCUGUUACAAAUACCGGUAGUCUCUGGACUUCACACCCUACAAGCAGACAUUCCCACCUUUUAAGUUGAUUAAACUGAGGCUUGGGGGGGCUUGACUUGGUAAAGGUCAGAGCUGCUGAUUGGUGGAGCUGGGGUAUAAAUUUCAGAUCUUCCUACUCCAUCGCCCAUGGCCUUGACAGAGCCCCGACUGUUUGCCAUUCUGUAGCAUGCACUCUGAGUGAUCCUCCCCCUACAUUCGAGAGCUGCUCCCGGACUCUACCUUCUUUUGGUCUCCUGGUCAGGGCUCAGAGACCAUAAGGGCGGGUGCCCAUGGCCUUCCAGAUUGUCAGGGCUGCUGUGAAGUGCCUGUUGAGUGUGCUUCAAUGAUCUCUGGCCUCUUGUUCCCCUUUUCCCUAACACCAUGUCCCCCUGUAGACCUGAAGAGUGAAAACAUGAGUGAGUAUCCCGUUUGUCGUCUCUACCCCCAUCCUUUGGACCCUGACGACAGGCCCCCCCAUAUACUGUGCUCUGGGCUGCUCACAGCAUGGUUGUCCCUGUUUUUGCCCUACUCUAAGCACCACUGUUGCUAGCUAAGCCUUAGAGCAAUGAAGCAUCAGAGAGCUUGGCUCCCGGCUGGCUUCAGUCCCUCUGACAGAUUGGGAUAGACAGUAGUGCUGGGGCCACUGAACACCCCAGAGCUGGCACGUUGUUAUCUGAGUCUGAAAAGCCAGCUGCUUUGGUGUAUUAAACAAGUGAAGAAUGACUCAUUUUGGAGCUAAUCCUACUUAGAAGGAGAGGCCUGCACUCUGUGACCCUGAGACUCCCUUCCCCGUGUGCCUCUG